rnacentral:rRNA from 1 species
UACGGGGGGGGCAAGCGUUGUUCGGAAUCACUGGGCGUAAAGGGCGUGUAGGCGGCUGAAUAAGUGGGAUGUUAAAUCCCCCGGCUCAACCGGGGACCUGCAUCUCAUACUGUUCAGCUCGAGCACAUCAGAGGAGACUGGAAUUCCCGGUGUAGCGGUGAAAUGCGUAGAUAUCUGGAGGAACACCGGUGGCGAAGGCGGCGUUCUGGACUGUAACUGACACUGAAAAACGAAAGCCAGGGGAGCAAACGGG